GCCCUAGGCCUGGCCCUGUAGCCCAGCCUAUGCCCAGCGUCUCUGCAGGGCCUAGCACAGACCCUGACUCAGGAUCCAGGAGGCCCUGCCUCACCACGAGGUCCCAUGGGGCCUUCUCGCCCUCUCUGGCCCAUGGGGCCUUCCAUGCCAGGAUCUCCUAAAGACAGGGAUGGCCAGCCUCCAAGUCAGGAUCCCGUACCCCAGCUAACGGCUCCACAGGCAGCCUCCCACGGCAGACGCUUGCCUGGAGCCCUUCCCUGGCCUCCCUGCUUGCUUCUCUCCUGGACCCCAUAGCCUUGGCUCAACCUGGAAGCCAGAGUGACCCUUUGAAAAUGUGAGUAGAUCAUGUUCUACCUCUGCCCCAAACCUGCACAUGGCUUCUCAACUCACCCAGAGUCAAAGCCAAAGUCCUUACACUGGCCUCUGAGGCCCCACACAGCCUGCCUCCUCUCGGCCCAUCCCUUUGGACUUUCCAGCUCAGAGGUCUUCCCCUUCCUGAUGCUCCUUAAAAAUUGCCCUGGGGCCUGAGCCUUGGCCUUGGCUGCUCCCUCUGCCUGGAAUGUUUUCCCUAGAUCUCUCCUGCUUGGCUCCUUCUUGCCCUUCGAAUCUUUGCUCAAAUGGUGGCCUCUCAGGGAGGCCUUCCCUGGCUUCCCUGUGUAAAAUUACUCUCCCCAGCUCUCAUUCCCAAAAUCCCUCCAGGCUCUCCUUUCCCAUGUCGUGCAUCACCCGUAAACUGCUAUAGACUUCACUAUUUCUCACAGUUACUGUCUUUCUCCCAAACCCAAAUCUCAGCUCCACAACAGCAGGGUUUCUCUGUUUGGUUCACUGGUGUCUCUCCAG
rnacentral:lncRNA from 10 species